rnacentral:sRNA from 2 species
CAACGAACGAAAGGAGGUGAUCCAGUGUCUCAUUGUCAUCAGCCGCUCACCCCGGCCUCCCGGACCUGGACCGUCGCCUCCGGCGCAGCCUUCUAGCGCUCGACGCGACCACGACAGUUCCGGCCGGACACGAGUGGUUCGGCAAUGGAAGGGCCGCCCCUCACGGGGCGGCCCU